CCAGGUGCCGGCUAUCCCGCGGCUCCCCCUGUUGGUUAAGGGCGCCCCCAGCAGCCUCCGUCCCCUCUGGAACCCUAGCCCCCAAAUCCCACAUCUCCCUCUCCCUCGCCCACUCUCUUCGCCCCGCGCGGGAUCGCCGCGUCACCACCGCUGCGUCGUCGUCACCACGACCAACGAGCUCUCCGCCGCGGGAGAACCUACCAGGAGCCCCGCGUCGUUCGUCCACACCGUCCUCGCUCGCAAGCCCGAGCCGCGGAGGUCGUCAUCGCCCGAUCGGGCAUCUUCCCCUGUUUCGGUCGCCGCCGUCCCGCCGCGUGGAGCCUCCCCGAGAAUACCAUCCGCCCCCUGGUGAGCUCCUCUCCCCAUCCCCCUCUUUUACUUGCUCGAUCCGUCACCGUAUCGUCGUCCUCGCAAGCCUGGCCGCCAUGGCCGACGCUUUGCGUCCGAGAGCAAGCCCGCCUGCCCAUCCCCGCGCCUUUGCUCCUCGCAGUGCGCCCAUAGCAGCUCCUCAUCGCGCCUUGCCUUGCGCUCGGCUGUGCCUCCACGCACGCGUCCGCCCCCGUGUUGCCGUGCUCCCGGCCGCCCCUGCGAGCCGCCACAGCCUGCUCCUGCGCUGCUGCUGCUACUUACUUCUCUACUUGUUGUUGCUAUGCGUUGCUACUAGCUCGGCUGCUGCAUCCUACUACUGUCGCUGCUUACUGUACUUUGUAGUUACUAGCUAGCUUCUCUAGUUUUACAAUGACUAACACUUUAGACAGUUCCUAAACGAUGGCUAACCAACUACUAACUUGGGCAAAAAUAAUAUGAGUAGAAAGUUUGCAUGACGAACUCCAUUUUAUUCCACUGGACCAAAUCCCUUCGAUGCCUGGAUUAAAUCCUAUCAAAAUCGCAAAAUGCUCUUUUUUGUUAAAAGGAAAUAGAAGUAACUCCUAGCUAGGUGCUCUGUGUGUGUAUUUUGUAGGUGUGUGUGAUGUAUGUACAGCGUGUGUGUGGCCGGUGUGCCCAUGUGUGUAGGGCUGCCCCAAAGCAGCGUGUGUGUGUGUGCUGUGUAGGUGUGUGUGUGUGUGAUAUUUGUGCAGCGUGUGAGUGUGUGUGGCCGAUGUGCCAUGUGUGUGGGGCUGCCCCAAAAUUAGUUUAGGUCUAGUUUAAUUAGAUGGAUUAGUUUCAGGAUUAUUUUUGCUUCUUAGCUAGUUUUAUUAGUGCUAAGUUACUCUAGUAGUAGAUGACAUGUAGGCCCUCUUUUUAAAUAAGUUAGGUUUAGAGUCUAUGACAUGUGGGCCACACAUCCCCUUUUGACUAGUCAAAUUGACUUAGUCAACCCGAAUUAGAAUAAUAUGUUAAUUCUAGAAAAUAAAUUAAACUUUAAAAAUCAAUAUAAAAUAAUCCGUAACUCGGAUGAAAAUACCAUGUACAUGAAAGUUGCUGAGAACGACGAGACGAAUUCAAAUACGCAGUCCGUUCGUUCGCCACACAUCCCUAGCAUAGCGAACACGCAACUUUCUCCCUCCGGUUCAUCUGCCCGAAAACGCGAAACACCGAGGAUACUUUCCCGGAUGUUUCCCCCCUUCGCUGGUAUCACAUAUCCUUGCGUUACGUCACCCUUAGCACAACGUAUUGCCGCGUCUUGCUUUGUGUUACAUUUGAUUGCUCUGUUAUUUAUUGUGUUCCCCCUCCGUUACUUCUUUUCGGUAGGCUUCGAGACCGUUGCCGAUACCCCUGUGAUCGGCUACAUCGACGAUGACCCCUCUCUCUUGUCAGAGCAACCAGGCAAGCCCCCUCUUUGAUCACCAGAUAUCGCCUACUCUUCUCUCUACUACUUGCAUUAGAGUAGUGUAGCAUGUUAUUGCUUUCCGUUAAUCCUAUUCUGAUGCAUAGCAUGUCUUUACUACUACUGUUGUUACCUUUACCUGCUAUCCUAAUGCUUAGUAUAGGAUGCUAGUGUUCCAUCAGUGGCCCUACAUUCUUGCUCGUCUGCCAUGCUAUACUACUGGGUCGUGAUCACUUCGGGAGGUGAUCACGGGCAUAUUCGAUAUACUUUAUACUGUUAAAUUACUUAUGAUACUGUUCGGAGUUAGGGGCUGAAGGGGCAGGUGGCUCCAUCCCGGUAGAGGUGGGCCUGAGUUCCCGACGGCCCCGACUGUUACUUUGUGGCGGAGCGACAGGGAAGUUGAGACCACCUAGGAGAGAGGUGGGCCUGACCCUGGUCGGCGUUCGCGGUUAUUUCAAGAUAACACAUUUAACGAGAUCUUGGUAUUUGAUCUGAGUCUGUCCACUGGCCUAUACGCACUAACCAUCUACGCGGGAACAAUUAUGGGCACUCGACGUCGUGGUAUCAGCCGAAGCCUUCGUGACGUCAGCGACUGAGCGGCGCGCGCCGGAUUGAACUGGAACGCCUGCUAGGCUAGGUCUGCUUCCGCCGCGUUCGCAACGUGCAGGUGUGCAAUGGGCGAUGGGCCCAGACCCAUGCGCCAUAGGAUUUAGACCGGCAUGUUGACCUCUCUGUUGUGCCUAGGUAGAGUUGCGACGUGUUGAUCUUCCGAGGCCAGGCAUGACCCAGAAAAGUGUGUCCGGCCAAAUGGGAUCGAGCGUGUCGGGUUAUGUGGUGCACCCCUACAGGGAAGUUAAUCUAUUCGAAUAGCCGUGAUCUUCGGUAACAGGACGACUUGAAGUUGUACCUUGACCUUAUGACAACUAGAACCAGAUACUUAAUAAAACACAUCCUUCCAAGUGCCAGAUACAACCGGUGAUCGCUCUCACAGGGCGGCGAAGGGAGGGUCAUCGGUUAGGAUUAUGCUAUGCGAUGCUACUUGGUGAACUUACCAUCUACUCUCUUCUCCUGCUACAAGAUGGAGGUUACCAGAAGCGUAGUCUUUGAUAGGACUAGCUAUCCCCCUCUUAUUCCGGCAUUAUGCAGUUCAGUCCACAUAUGAUACCCCUUUUUCCAUUUGAUACCAAUGCAUACAUAUGUAGUGUAGCUCCUUGCUUGUGAGUACUUUGGAUGAGUACUCACGGUUGCUUUGCUCCCCCUUUCCCCCCUUUCUGUACCCGGUUGUUGCGACCAGAUGAUGGAGUCCAGGAGCCAGAGGAUCCCGAGGAUGAUUCUACGUGGAGUUCGACUUCCAGGAGUAGUUUAGGAGGAUCCCAGGCAGGAGGCCUGCGCCUCUUUCGAUCUGUAUCCCAGUUUGUGCUAGCCUUUUUAAGGCAAACUUGUUUAACUUAUGUCUGUACUCAGAUAUUGUUGCUUCCGCUGACUCGUCUAUGAUCGAGCUCUUGUAUUCGAGCCCUCGAGGCCCCUGGCUUGUAAUAUGAUGCUUGUAUAACUUAUUUUAUUUGUAGAGUUGUGUUGUGAUAUCUUCUCGUGAGUCCUUGAUCUUGAUCGUACAUGUUUGCGUGUAUGAUUAGUGUAUGGUCAAAUCGGGGGCGUCACAAGUUGGUAUCAGAGCCGACUGCCUGUACGAAUCCCUCUUCCACACUCCUUUGCGAAAGUUGAGUCUAGUCGUUACAAAACUUUUACUAACAUGG
rnacentral:lncRNA from 1 species